GUCUCAGGGUGUACCCCUUUAGUUAUAAAUGUCUCAGAGUUAUCCUUUAUGGAAGAGUAGUACUCCAUUGUAUUAAAAAAAAAAAAAAAAAAAGGUCCAAAGUGGGUAUCAACUCAAUUUCCGAAUCACAACAUUCCUUUUUUCUUUUUUAAUUUUUAGGUGCCAGGGAUCAAACUCACAACCUUACACUUGCCAGGCAGUGGCCUCACAACAUUCCUUUCAUCAGUUUUCCAAAGGAAGAAGAAUGGAAGAAGGAAAGGAGAAAAGGGCAAACAUUUUUCACUAGAUAAAAUGGAGGGAAACAGCUAGAGUCCUCUCUUCAACGUCCUAGUUGAUACUAUUAUAGAAGGUAGGAAAUGAUGAAUCACUGGAAUAAAUAUCAUUGCGUGUUGAUCACAAGACAGAAAUGUCUCACAGUUUA
rnacentral:lncRNA from 1 species